rnacentral:rRNA from 1 species
UACAGAGGUCCCAAGCGUUGUUCGGAUUCAUUGGGCGUAAAGGGAGCGCAGGCGGAUUGGUAAGUCAGUGGUGAAAGGCUUAAGCUUAACUUGGGAACUGCCAUUGAUACUAUCAGUCUUGAAUGUUGUUGAGGUUUGCGGAAUGGGUCAUGUAGCGGUGAAAUGCUUAGAUAUGACAUAGAACACCAAUUGCGAAGGCAGCUGGCUACACGAGCAUUGACACUCAGGCACGAAAGCGUGGGGAGCAAACAGG